rnacentral:rRNA from 1 species
UACGAAGGGUGCAAGCGUUACUCGGAAUUACUGGGCGUAAAGCGUGCGUAGGUGGUUUCUUAAGUCUGCUGUGAAAGCCCCGGGCUCAACCUGGGAAUUGCAGUGGAUACUGGGGAGCUAGAGUGCGGUAGAGGGUAGUGGAAUUCCCGGUGUAGCGGUGAAAUGCGUAGAGAUCGGGAGGAACACCCGUGGCGAAGGCGGCUCACUGGGCCGGUCCUGACGCUGAGACGCGAAGGCGUGGGGAGCGAACGGG